UCAAUGUCAAUUAUCAAUAAUCACAAACAUGAAUAGAUUUUCUAUUACCAGCCAUGCCAAGUGCCAACUUCGCUGCCCUUUCUAUUCCUGGCCCAGGCACACCGCUCACAGCAGUACCUUUCAACUCUUCUCCAAAAGAUUAAGCACCUCCAGAUUUGAGUGUGUUACUCAACCAGUCCAUGCCCUCAAAGAGACCUUCUCCUUUAAUUGCAGAAGUUUUAAAAAUUGCCCAUUGACGAUUCUUAAUCUUAUGCAGCUCUAAAGCCUCUGUAAUUGCAGCAUCAUCAAGUGCCCCAGGAAGAUCCUGCUUGUUUGCAAAGAUGAGAACAACAGCACCUUUUAGCUCUUCCUCCUCUAGGAUUGCAUGGAACUCAUCUUUAGCAAUCACCAGUCUAUCAGUGUCACUUGAAUCAACAACAUAAAUUAUGGCUUGAGUGUUAGGAAAAUAACAUCUCCAAUAGGGUCUGAUACUUGUUUGUCCACCAAGAUCCCACACUUGAAAUUUGAUAUUGUUGUACUGCACUGUUUCGACGUUAAAUCCAAUUGUUGGAAUUGUGGACACAACUUCACCCAUCUGAAGCCGAUAGAGAAUCGUGGUUUUGCCAGCAUUAUCGAGUCCGAGAACAAGGAUCCGGGCCUCUUUGUUGCCAAAGAGCGAAGAGAACAUUUUAGUAAACAAAAUACCCAUCCUUUAGCUCUUCCUAAGUAUCCAAACUGACGAUUCUCAGUGCACGUGGAACACAGAUCGCAGGAUUUGGAUCUGAUCUGCAAAGCAAAGCCCUGUUCCUCU
rnacentral:misc_RNA from 1 species